rnacentral:rRNA from 1 species
GACGAACGCUGGCGGCGUGCUUAACACAUGCAAGUCGAACGGAAAGGCCCUGCUUGCAGGGUACUCGAGUGGCGAACGGGUGAGUAACACGUGGGUGAUCUGCCCUGCACUUCGGGAUAAGCCUGGGAAACUGGGUCUAAUACCGGAUAGGAGCCAUUUUUAGUGUGAUGGUUGGAAAGUUUUUUCGGUGUAGGAUGAGCUCGCGGCCUAUCAGCUUGUUGGUGGGGUAAUGGCCUACCAAGGCGGCGACGGGUAGCCGGCCUGGGAGGGUGGACGGCCACAUUGGGGCUGGGAUACGGCCCAGACUCCUACGGGGGGCAGCAGUGGGGAAUAUUGCACAAUGGGCGGGAGCCUGAUGCAGCGACGCCGCGGGGGGGAUGACGGCCUUCGGGUUGGAAACUCCUUUCGCUAGGGACGAAGCUUUUUGUGACGGUACCUAGAUAAGAAGCACCGGCUAACUACGUG